GACGAACGCUGGCGGCGUGCUUAACACAUGCAAGUCGAACGGAAAGGCCCUGCUUUUGUGGGGUGCUCGAGUGGCGAACGGGUGAGUAACACGUGAGUAACCUGCCCUUGACUUUGGGAUAACUUCAGGAAACGGGGGUUAUUACCGGAAAGGAGCUCUGCUGCCAUGGGGGGGGUGGGAAAGUUUCGGCGGUUGGGGAUGGACUCGCGGCUUAUCAGCUUGUUGGUGGGGUAGUGGCUUACCAAGGCUUUGACGGGUAGCCGGCCUGAGAGGGUGACCGGCCACAUUGGGACUGAGAUACGGCCCAGACUCCUACGGGAGGCAGCAGUGGGGAAUAUUGCACAAUGGGCGGAAGCCUGAUGCAGCAACGCCGCGUGCGGGAUGACGGCCUUCGGGUUGUAAACCGCUUUCGCCUGUGACGAAGCGUGAGUGACGGUAAUGGGUAAAGAAGCACCGGCUAACUACGUG
rnacentral:rRNA from 1 species